AGUGAACGCUGGCGGUAGGCCUAACACAUGCAAGUCGAGCGGUAGCACAGUAAGGCUUUCCUCUUACGUGAGGCGCGUCGCGGGCGUGUGUGGUAUACAGCGGACUCUCUUUUUUCGUGGGGUAUCUCGUGGGGACACUUGCUCUUACAGCGUAUCCUCCCUACGGCAUAAAGCAGGGGCUCUUCGCCUCUUGCCCUCUUGUAUGCGCAGAUGUCGGUAGCUAGUGGGUGGGGUAAUGGCUCACCAAGGCGACGAUCCGUAGCUGGUCUGAGAGGAUGACCAGCCACACUGGAACUGAGACACGGUCCAGACUCCUACGGGAGGCAGCAGUGGGGAAUAUUGGACAAUGGGCGCAAGCCUGAUGCAGCCAUGCCGCGUGUGUGAAGAAGGCCUUCGGGUUGUAAAGCACUUUUGGUGGGGAAGAAGAGCAGGAGGUUAAUACGCUGAUGAAUUGACGGUACCCAAAGAAGAAGCACCGGCUAACUUCGUG
rnacentral:rRNA from 1 species